UUGGAACCAUACAUAUAAGACAUGGGGGGACAAUACCUUUCACAAAUGUUCAUGAAACUAUGCCAGGCUGGGCUGACCUGGGAGAGAGAGAACGCUCCAUCAUAGAACGUCACUCUGAGACGGACAGAAUGUGGGCGUUGUCCGAGUAUCGAGCACGUCAAGGAAGAGAAUGUCCUACAGCGUUUAGAUUAGC